rnacentral:snRNA from 1 species
UUCUAAUGUGCCUUGUUCACAG